AUCAUUUAAUGCCGUCUCAUGGAUGCUUUAAAUAACUAUGCAAUUAUUUAAUGUCAUUCCUCGCCUCCGAUACUGUCAGAGCUCUGUUUUCAGUGCACCGCUCUGCAGUAUAACAUCAGGAACCAGAGUCACCUUUAAUAUUACGAAGCUUGUGAAAUAUAUUUACAGGGAAAAUCAUGAGGCUCACAUAAAUCAGACGCUCUGCGCUUGUACUGAAACCCAGGCACUAUU